GAUGAACGCUGGCGGCGUGCCUAAUACAUGCAAGUCGAGCGAACAGACGAGGAGCUUGCUCCUCUGACGUUAGCGGCGGACGGGUGAGUAACACGUGGAUAACCUACCUAUAAGUCUGGGAUAACUUCGGGACACCGGCGCUAAUACCGGAUAAUAUAUUGCACCGCAUGGUUCAAUAGUGAAAGACGGUUUUGCUGUCACUUCUAGCGGGUUAUGCGCCGCAUUAGGUAGUUGGUAAGGUAAAGGCUUACCAAGGCAAGGAUGCGUAGCCGACCUGAGAGGGGGAUCGGCCACACGGGAGCUGAGACGCGGUCCAGAGGCCUACGGGAGGGAGCAGUAGGGAAUCUGCCGCAAUGGGCGAAAGCCUGACGGAGCAACGCCGCGUGAGUGAUGAAGGUCCUCGGAUCGUAAAACUCUGUUAUUAGUGAAGAACAAAUGUGUAAGUAACUAUGCACGUCUUGACGGUACCUAAUCAGAAAGCCACGGCUAACUACGUG
rnacentral:rRNA from 1 species